rnacentral:rRNA from 1 species
AUUGAACGCUGGCGGCAGGCUUAACACAUGCAAGUCGAACGAGUGGCGGACGGGUGAGUAAUGCUUGGGAACCUGGCUUAUGGAGGGGGAUAACGGCGGGAAACUGUUGCCAAUACCGCGUUCCAUCGGAUGAGCCCAAGUGGGAUUAGGUAGUUGGUGGGGUAAUGGCCUACCAAGCCGACGAUCUCUAGCUGGGCUGAGAGGAGGACCAGCCAAACCGGAACUGAGACACGGCCCGGACUCCUACGGGAGGCAGCAGUGGGGAAGAUUGGGCAAUGGGGGCAACCUGACGCAGCCAUGCCGCGGGAAUGAAGAAGGCCUUCGGGUUGUAAAGUUCUUUCGGUGAGGAGGCGUUAAUCGCAGAAGAAGCACCGGCUAACUCCGUGCCAGCAGCCGCGGUAAUAC